CUUAGUUUAAUCUUUACUAUUUUUUGUAUAUUUUAAUUUUAUUUGAAAAAAAAAAGCCUUAAUUUAUAAUUUAUAAUUUUUUUUGUUAAAAAAGGUUGCUAACCCUAUAGAAUUGUAAUUGUAUUGAUUUCAAUUCACAAUACAAGAUACAAUAUCCUAAUGGAUAAGAUGUUGACCUCAUUAUUGUAAUAAUUUCUAAUCAAGUGACUUGUUGGACAAAUAAACGUAAGCCCCCACGGACUUCCAUAAUGUAGCCCAACAAAAUCCUAACCAGAUUCUCCUAUACUAACAAAAUCCUUCUAUGUUGGGGGGAGGGUGUUUUACCUUAAUUUGCCCUUGUUUAAUAAAUUGUUUUUUUUUUUAAGCUGUAAGAGGUGAGGGGUAAGGUCUACCCUUCGCCAUUGUCACUAGCCAGCAUAAUGUGUUUUUUUGCAUCGCUGCAAUCUUCUUUCCUCGCCCUGUUUUUUGUUAGAAAUUCAAGCUCAUGGAGACUGGAAUGGAACCUGCAGCUUUUAACCAUCGUCUACGUCGUAAGCGUUUUCUUCCAUAUAUAAUAAGCUCUAUUCAACGACAAACUGUGAAAAACAACAGGACCAUAUAUUUGCUGUUGUGAGACAUAUUUUCUAUAAUCUUUACCAUCGUACUUGUUUUAUACAUCUUUAAAACAUAAUCCUUAAUGUAUUUUUGUCUUCCGUUGUUGGCAUAAGAUAUAAUUGGAUCUGUAAAAAGUUCGAGUCUUCAUCCGACCCUUUUGCAAUAGGGAGUUCUGAAUACAGCAUUAGUCUAUUACCUGCAAUCAUGGUGCAUCAGUCACAAGGGACCAGUUUUUCCAGCUAUGUUUAGUCCACUUAGUGCCAUUGUAGUGGCAGUAUUUUCGGCAAUUGCUUUCGCAGAGUGACUUCACUUUGGCAGUUUGAUUGGAGCACUUCUCACUAUUGUGGGACUUUACUGUGUGCUGUGGGGAAAGAGGAAAGACAGUAUUGGUGCUGAACAUGGAGAGAUUGAAAAAAUGACGCUAGGCGAUAUUAAAGAGCUGGAGAUUUCCAUGAAUGAUAAUUCAGUAGUCAAUCCUGUCACUAGAGAAGAAAGGUUGGAUCAUCAGCAACGGUUGGUGUAAGAAACAUUGAGUUUCCAUUUAUAUCCUGUCCAAGGUCAACCCUCGGGUUGUUACAUAUAUAUUUCCUCAUCUAAGUCUCCAUUUAAGAAUGCAGUCUUUACAUCCAUUUGAUGUAUUUCCAUGUUAUGGAGUGCAGCUGUAGCAAUCAAUAGUCUUAUUGAAGUAAUUCUCGUUACAGGUGAGUAUGUAUCAAAGAAAUCCAAACCAUGUUUUUGACGGUAUCAUUUAGCUACCAAACGAGCCUUAUAUUUGUCAA